CAAGCCCCAUCAGUCUCACCUGCUCGCUGCCACAUGCAGUAUGGACGGCUGCUUUGACUAACUGCUGCUAGUUCCCUCAAUCUGCCAGUCAUUCCAGCCAUUUAAAGAAGUUUUCCUGUUUCAUGCUUGGAUUUCAACAGUUUCGCCUCCAUCUGGUUUUUUCUUGACUCUAAAGGCCGUUACCGAAAAAACACAGAUGUGAACCUCCAGCUGUUCUGGCAGAGUUGUUGAAGGCGUCUGCAGUCAGAGACCGGCUGAAGGGAAAGACUUCAUCCUGCUGUAAGUC